CAGGUCAGCAUACUGCCGUGAAUACGUUCCCGGGCCUUGUACACACCGCCCGUCACACCAUGAGAGUUGGGAAUACCCGAAGCCUGUGAGCUAACUGUAAGGAGGCAGCAGUCGAAGGUAGAAUCAAUGAUUGGGGUGAAGUCGUAACAAGGUAAC
rnacentral:rRNA from 1 species